rnacentral:lncRNA from 1 species
CACCUAUUUGGGAAACCUCAGCUAAGCUAAGAGGCUAAGUGGGCUCUGAUGUCGACUUCCUGUUUCUUGGACCGGACGUGGGACCACGAUGGAGCCUGGUUUUAAAUUAGCUUAUCUUCAGAAAGAAGGAGCCAAAUCCUGAUCUCUUCCAGGAGAAGACAGAGCAUCAAUUGACGACAACCUUUAAUUACAACCAGUUUCUCCUCCAACAGUCAUGCACCUCCCAUGGCACGCAGUGGUGCUGGAGCAUUAUAUAUGCUCCAGCACACAUCUGCAAGGCAAGGUGAUGCCUGCGCUACCAAGUCCAGCACGCCUAAGCCGCCUGAGGAAGUGGCGGCGCUGGUUGGCUUUCCUGACCAGACUGAAAGUGAUGUUGCUCCAGCUGGAUUCUUCACUCAGGUGGCCGCCAAGGUAUCUAUAGCUGGAGACCACACAUCUUCAGAUGUGCAGCAGGAGAUCUUCCACCUCCUCACUGUUGCUGGACUCAUUGCUGUUGCUGAUGCAUCGGAGCACUGUCGCACGCAAACUGGACAACAUUUGAGGAUCUGA